CAGUCGCCGCGGUAAUACGAAGGGUGCAAGCGUUAAUCGGAAUUACUGGGCGUAAAGCGUGCGUAGGCGGUGAGUUAAGUCUGCUGUGAAAUCCCCGGGCUCAACCUGGGAAUGGCAAUGGAUACUGGCAAGCUAGAGUGUGUCAGAGGAUGGUGGAAUUCCCGGUGUAGCGGUGAAAUGCGUAGAGAUCGGGAGGAACAUCAGUGGCGAAGGCGGCCAUCUGGGACAACACUGACGCUGAGGCACGAAAGCGUGGGGAGCAAACAGGAUUAGAUACCCCCGUAGUCCCUGUCUCUUAUAC
rnacentral:rRNA from 1 species